rnacentral:rRNA from 1 species
CUACGGGCUGCUCCAGUGAGGAAUAUUGCACAAUGGGGGAAACCCUGAUGCAGCAACGCCGCGUGGAGGAUGACGCAUUUCGGUGUGUAAACUCCUUUUAUGAGUCAAGAAAAUGACGGUAGCUCAUGAAUAAGCACCCGCUAACUCCGUGCCAGCAGCCGCGGUAAUACGGAGGGUGCAAGCGUUACUCGGAAUCACUGGGCGUAAAGGACGCGUAGGCGGGAUGUCAAGUCAGGUGUGAAAUCCUAUGGCUCAACCAUAGAACUGCACUUGAAACUGGCAACCUAGAGUAUGGGAGGGGGAGAUGGAAUUAGUGGUGUAGGGGUAAAAUCCGUAGAUAUCACUAGGAAUACCGAAAGCGAAGGCGAUCUCCUGGAACAUUACUGACGCUAAGGCGUGAAAGCGUGGGGAGCAAACAGGAUUAGAUACCCCGGUAGUC